AUGAAGAGGAACAGUUUAUCUGUUGAGAAUAAAAUUGUCCAGUUGUCAGGAGCAGCGAAACAGCCAAAAGUUGGGUUCUACUCUUCUCUCAACCAGACUCAUACGUACAUGGUUCUUCUAGACUGGGGGAGUUUGCCUCACCAUGUAGUAUUACGAAUUUUUCAGUAUCUUCCUUUACUAGAUCGGGCCCGUGCAUCUUCUGUAUGUAGGAGGUGGAAUGAAGUUUUUCAUAUUCCUGACCUUUGGAGAAAGUUUGAAUUUGAACUGAACCAGUCAGCUACUUCAUAUUUUAAGUCCACUCAUCCUGAUCUCAUUCAGCAGAUCAUUAAAAAGCAUUCUGCUCAUCUUCAAUAUGUCAGCUUUAAGGUUGACAGUAGCGCUGAGUCAGCAGAAGCUGCCUGUGAUAUACUCUCUCAGCUGGUAAAUUGUUCCGUCCAGACCUUGGGCUUGAUUUCAACAGCCAAGCCAAGUUUCAUGAAUGUGUCAGAGUCUCGUUUUGUGUCAGCACUUACAGUUGUUUUUAUCAACUCAAAAUCAUUAUCAUCAAUCAAAAUUGAAGAUACACCAGUGGAUGAUCCUUCAUUGAACAUUCUUGUAGCCAAUAAUAGUGACACUCUAAGACUCCUAAAAAUGAGUAGCUGUCCUCAUGUUUCAUCUGAUGGAAUUCUUUGUGUAGCUGAUCACUGUCAAGGCCUUAGAGAACUGGCAUUGAAUUAUUACAUCCUAACUGAUGAACUUCUCCUUGCACUCUCAAGCGAGAUUCAUGUUAACCUUGAACAUCUUCAAAUUGAUGUUGUGAGUGAAAAUCCUGGACAGAUUAAAUUUCAUGCUAUUAAAAAACACAGUUGGGAUGCACUUAUUAAACAUUCACCUAGAGUUAAUGUUGUUAUGUACUUCUUUCUAUAUGAAGAGGAAUUUGAGACGUUCUUCAAAGAAGAAACCCCUGUUACUUACCUUUAUUUUGGUCGUUCAGUCAGCAAAUCGGUUUUAGGACGGGUAGGUCUCAACUGUCCUCGACUGAUUGAGUUAGUGGUGUGUGCUAAUGGUCUUCAGCCUCUUGAUAAUGAACUUAUUUGUAUUGCUGAACACUGUACAAAUCUAACAGCCUUGGGCCUCAGCGAAUGUGAAGUUAGCUGCAGUGCCUUCAUCAAGUUUGUAAGACUGUGUGGGAGAAGGCUAACACAGCUCUCUAUAAUGGAGGAAGUUUUGAUCCCUGAUGAGGAUUAUAGCCUAGAUGAAAUUCACACUGAAGUCUCCAAAUACCUGGGAAGAGUAUGGUUCCCUGAUGUGAUGCCUCUCUGAUAA
rnacentral:sRNA from 1 species